AUACGAAGGGGGCUAGCGUUGUUCGGAAUUACUGGGCGUAAAGCGUACGUAGGCGGACUGAUCAGUUGGGGGUGAAAUCCCAGGGCUUAACCCUGGAACUGCCUUCAAUACUGUCAGUCUUGAGUUUGGGAGAGGUGAGUGGAAUUCCUAGUGUAGAGGUGAAAUUCAUAGAUAUUAGGAGGAACACCAGUGGCGAAGGCGGCUCACUGGCCCAUUACUGACGCUGAGGUACGAAAGCGUGGGGAGCAAACAGGAUUAGAUACCCUAGUAGUCC
rnacentral:rRNA from 1 species